rnacentral:tRNA from 1 species
CUUGGCGUAGCGCAGUGGACAGCGUACUCGGUCUGGACCCGAGUGGUCGGGGGUUCGAAUCCCUCCGCCGAGA